AACGAACGCUGGCGGCAUGCCUAACACAUGCAAGUCGAACGAGACCUUCGGGUCUAGUGGCGCACGGGUGCGUAACGCGUGGGAAUCUGCCCUUGGGUUCGGAAUAACAGUUGGAAACGACUGCUAAUACCGGAUGAUGACGUAAGUCCAAAGAUUUAUCGCCCAGGGAUGAGCCCGCGUAGGAUUAGCUAGUUGGUGGGGUAAAGGCCUACCAAGGCGACGAUCCUUAGCUGGUCUGAGAGGAUGAUCAGCCACACUGGGACGGAGACACGGCCCAGACUGGUACGGGAGGCAGCAAGGGGGAAUAUUACAGUAUGGGCGGAAGUAUGAUGCAGCGACGCCGCGUGCGGGAUGACGGCUUGCGGGUGGGAAACAACUUUCAGCAGGGACGAACAGUCAGUGACGGUACCUGCAGAAGAAGCGCCGGCUAACUACGUG
rnacentral:rRNA from 1 species